GUCCAUCUCGCGACCCGGCACCACCGCGGUGUUCCGGCCGGUCGAGCUCGCGGAGCCAGCCGGCGCCAUUACCGCCUUGCCGUCGAGCUCGCAAAGCUACCCUCCGCUGUCGCAGAGUUCCGCCCCAUCGAGCUCGCGGAGCCAGUCGGCGCCAUCGCCACCUUGUCGUCCGGCUCCCAUCAAACCCAUCGAUUCCCCAUUCUCUCGGCUGCCUCGUCGACUCCGACGGUGCCGCCAUUCCCCUUUCGUCUCCACCUCGCGCGCGCAGCUCACGACGCUCGCCAUCGUCGCUUCCCGGCGAGGCCAUCCGCGGCCGCCGUUGUUUCUUCCCGGACGCCGCCACCAUCUCCCCACCCCCACGCGGCACCCCCCACAUUUCCCCACCCGUGCUACUCCCGAAUCCGCAAUCCCCAUCCGAAGAUCCUUGCGACCUCCGCCCCAAGAGUCCUCGCCGCCGGUCGGCGCCACCAUCUUCUCGCAGUGCAAGCAGCCAUCGCCUUGUCGCCUUACUUGCCGGCGACCCAGCGCCGCUUCGUCGUCGUCGAGCUAGCGGCGCCGCAGCCCUCCCCUGCAGCCAUUGUCCUGCACCACCUCCCCGCGGACACGGUGCCGGCUGCAGCCGUAGUCUUCUCGUGGAUCCACCAGCCAACACCGCCACCAACCAUCUCGUCCACGGCCAUCUCCUCGCUUCUCAUGGCUGCUGCUCGUCGGCUCCUCCACACCUCUCCAGUUGCUUUACCUUCAUAUCACAUCCAGCUAAAUUGUUCAUAUUCCCUUCACAGGGUGCAUCCUAAACUGCCAGGAUAUAUGCCAAGUGGUACGCCUUAUUUUUUGUGUGCACGUGUGGAUGACAUUGCUAUAUGCAUGACUGUCCCUUUUGGGUAUAUGCCCAGGAUGGCAUCAGUAUGCACACCUAGCCUUAGAAGCAACACCAUUUGUUUAGAAGCUCUGCAUUAUAGCCGCUAA
rnacentral:lncRNA from 1 species